CAGGUAGGAGCUAAAUUAUGCAAGACCUUCAUAGGCCACGGCAAAGACAUUCAGAUGUUAGAUUCUAAGUGCAAUGGGAGCCGGAUGCUGUGGCUCACGCCUGUAAUCCCAACACUCUGGGAAGCUGAGGCGGGUGGAUCGCCUGAAGUCAGGAGUUCGAGACCAGCCUAGCCAACAUGGCAAAACCCUGUCUCUACUAAAAAUAAAAAAAGUUAGCUAGCAUGGUGGUGGGCACCUGCAAUCCCAGCUACUUGGGAGGCUGAGGCAGGAGAAUUGCUUGAACUUGGGAGGUGAAGGUUGCAGUGAGCCAAGAUGGCACCACUGCAUUCCAGCCUAGGCAGCAGAGCAAGACUCCAUCUCAAAAAAGAAAAAAAAAGUGCAAUGGGAGGCUGUUAAAAUAUUUUAAGCAAAAGGGUGAGGUGACUUACUUGACAUUUUUAACAGAUCAUGUUGUUUGUGACACAAAGUAUGACCAGGAGGGUGCAGGAAUAAAACCAGAGACACCAUUGAUGAGGCGCUGGCAGUGACCUGGGCCAAGGUGGCCACAUGCACGGAGUCCAAUGAGGCCUGGGGCAUCAAGUUUACAAACAUGGAGCAUAACUACAGAGAUCAGAGAGAAUAAAUAGAAGAAGUUUUGAACAGAUAAAGGUUUAAAUGAUCUCAUCAGAGACAAGGAGAUAAAUGCUGGAUGAAGGAAAUUGGAUUGCCGUUGGCUGCGGUGGUGAUUUGUGCUCCGGCAACCUCUGCAGGUAACUCACUAGAUGAUGGCAGUGAGAGAAACAUAUGUACUCUCCCAGGUUCUCUCUGUGAAGACCAUACUGGCAAUGAAGUGUUGUAGGAGGAGAUAAAGACAGCCAGAGAAACUUGGCAGCUGACUCUGGUACUAAGGGAACAUGUCCAUCACCUUGAUUUUCAUCCUUUAAUAUGCAAAGGAAAACAUGGCAUCCUAAACUCAAGAGGGAAUAUAAAACAGCCUUCUAAAGAAAAGUUUGGCAGAACCACAAGGUAGGGGUUGUAAAUUGUGAAACUUUUCUUGACUUGGAUCCUUCAGAAAGCUGGAAGGAUAGAGUACUUGGAUUAAAUUAUGUUCCUGGACCCCAGUGCAUAUCACCAGCACCUUUCUAAGGAAAGGAAGGUAAAAGGGAAGUGGGAGGGAGGCCAAAGUAACUCCAGAGGCUCAAGAUGUUCUGCAAAACAUACCCUCCUGGCAGCCUUCCCUCAGUAGUCCUUAGUGACCAUUCUAGGCAUUAUUGGAUAUUCUGAAUGAAAGGGGUACAGGGACAUUUCCCAGGCAGUAUGCCCAACUUAGCUGUGCUAUCUUUUCCUGAGAGGCCAGGGAACCUUUCCUGAAAUUGUGUCUCUUUCUGCAGUCUGGCCUCCUGCAUGGUACUUCCUAACAAAUUUGGCCUGUUCAUUUUAUGAACAGAUAAUGCACAGAUUCCAGGCUCAGCCUCCAAAGUUCAGCCUGGCCACCCCACAAUCCAU
rnacentral:lncRNA from 13 species